rnacentral:rRNA from 1 species
UACGUAGGGCGCAAGCGUUAUCCGGAAUUAUUGGGCGUAAAGAGCUCGUAGGCGGUCUGUUGCGUCGGCUGUGAAAACCCGGGGCUCAACUCCGGGCCUGCAGCCGAUACGGGCAGACUAGAGUUCGGCAGGGGAGACUGGAAUUCCUGGUGUAGCGGUGAAAUGCGCAGAUAUCAGGAGGAACACCGGUGGCGAAGGCGGGUCUCUGGGCCGAUACUGACGCUGAGGAGCGAAAGCGUGGGGAGCAAACAGG